AGCCUUAAGCUUCUUUUAAGGUGAGCCCUGCCCAGUGAAUUUUUUUUUAACGGCCGCAGUACCUUGACUGUGCUAAGGUAGCGUAAUCAGUUGGCUUUUAAUUGGAGUCGAGAAUGAAUGGGUAACCGGGGACUAGCUGUCUCUAAUCUAUUACUUUGAACUUACUUAGAGGGUGAAAAUUCCCUUCAGUAGAAAAAAGACGAGAAGACCCUUGGAGUUUUGAGUAAAAGCUUUGUUACUUACCUUUUUGUUGGGGCGACAUGAAGACAGGUUUAUAACCCUUCAAUUCUUUAUGAACUUGACGGAGCUUUUCAAGAAAGAUUAAACUACCCUAGGGAUAACAGCAUAAUGUUUAUUUAAGCUUGUGACCUCGAUGUUGGACUAGGAACUAAAUGACUAGCCGUCAAGUUAGCUUGUUCUGUUCGAACUUUCUCCUCCUACGU
rnacentral:rRNA from 1 species